rnacentral:rRNA from 1 species
AGUGAACGCUGGCGGUAGGCCUAACACAUGCAAGUCGAACGGCAGCACAGUAAGAGCUUGCUCUUACGGGUGGCGAGUGGCGGACGGGUGAGGAAUACAUCGGGAUCUACUUUUUCGUGGGGGAUAACGUAGGGAAACUUACGCUAAUACCGCAUACGACCUACGGGUGAAAGCAGGGGAUCUUCGGACCUUGCGCGAUUGAAUGAGCCGAUGUCGGAUUAGCUAGUUGGUGGGGUAAAGGCCCACCAAGGCGACGAUCCGUAGCUUGUCUGAGAGGAGGAUCGGCCACACUGGAACUGAGACACGGUCCAGACGCCUACGGGAGGCAGCAGUGGGGAAUAUUGGACAAUGGGCGCAAGCCUGAUCCAGCCAUACCGCGUGGGUGAAGAAGGCCUUCGGGUUGUAAAGCCCUUUUGUUGGGAAAGAAAAGCAGCAGGUUAAUACCCCGCUGUUCUGACGGUACCCAAAGAAUAAGCACCGGCUAACUUCGUG